rnacentral:rRNA from 1 species
CCUGAUGCAGCGACGCCGCGUGGGUGAUGAAGGUCUUCGGAUCGUAAAGCCCUUUUCUGCGUGACGAGACAGGACGGUAGCGCAGGAAUAAGUCUCGGCUAACUACGUGCCAGCAGCCGCGGUAAAACGUAGGAGACGAACGUUAUCCGGAGUUACUGGGCGUAAAGGGCGUGUAGGCGGUAUGCUAAGUCUGGCGUGAAAGCUCUCGGCUAAACCGGGAGAGGUCGUUGGAUACUGGCAAACUAGAGGAUGGUAGAGGCGUGUGGAAUUCCGGGUGUAGUGGUGAAAUGCGUAGAGAUCCGGAGGAACACCAGUGGCGAAGGCGACACGCUGGGCCAUACCUGACGCUAAAGCGCGACAGCAUGGGGAGCAAACGGGAUUAGAAACCCCGGUAGUCCAUGCCGUAAACGAUGCCAGCUAGAUGUUCAGAUCUCGCAAGAGAUCGGGGUAUCGAAGCAAACGCGAUAAGCUGGCCGCCUGGGGAGUACGGUCGCAAGGCUA